rnacentral:rRNA from 1 species
GCCCAGACUCCUACGGGAGGCAGCAGUGGGGGAUAUUGCACAAUGGGGGAAACCCUGAUGCAGCGACGCCGCGUGAGUGAAGAAGUACUUCGUUACGUAAAGCUCUAUCAGCAGGGAAGAAAAUGACGGUACCUGACUAAGAAGCCCCGGCUAACUACGUGCCAGCAGCCGCGGUAAUACGUAGGGGGCAAGCGUUAUCCGGAUUCACUGGGUGUAAAGGGAGCGUAGACGGCGACGCAAGUCUGGAGUGAAAGCCCGGGGCCCAACCCCGGGACUGCUCUUGGAACUGCGUGGCUGGAGUGCAGGAGGGGCAGGCGGAAUUCCUGGUGUAGCGGUGAAAUGCGUAGAUAUCAGGAGGAACACCGGUGGCGAAGGCGGCCUGCUGGACUGCAACUGACGUUGAGGCCCGAAAGCGUGGGGAGCAAACAGGAUUAGAUACCCGCGUAC